CACAGGCUCUAAGAAUUUUACAAUGGCAAUAAUCUGAAUUUUUCGUAGAUGCCAAACUUGGCGCAUUCUUCUGGGGGUUUUCUUUUUCAAUCCUCUUAAGAGAGCUCACGUACGGCGGAGCUUGGUGGCCCUGAUCCCCAGCUCCACCAGCCAUCCGCUAUCGCAGUGCGCCGAUAACAGAUUUAUGUUUAUGAAACAAAAUUGGCAAAAAGCGACAUAGUAAAGUUUUAUCAAUUUUUUCCAAAACCAGUUGUUUGCAGAAGGAACAAGGAUGAGAACACCAAGUAUACACGGAUCAAGCAGAAGAAGAUCAGAAACAUUAGUAGGUCAAAGAGUACUGAAUUCCAUUCAAUCGUGUGGUUGAUCAGCAAGUAGAAUUUAGCGUGCAGUGAAUUUAGCACCCAUCAUUCAUUGCAUUUUUGUGUGAUGCGGGAUUUGUAGUUUUAUUUUUUGUUUUAAUAUUUGCAGUAGCCCAUAAAUACUAAGCUUAUUGUUAUUAGAAGACACCUUUGAUAUUAAGAAUAAUAUUGAAUUGUGAGUUUUGGCUA